rnacentral:rRNA from 1 species
GAUGAACGCUAGCGGCAGGCCUAACACAUGCAAGUCGAGGGGUAACUAGAGUGAUAGCAAUAUUACUUUGGCUAGACCGGCGCACGGGUGCGUAACACGUAUGCAACCUACCUUAUACUGGGGAAUAACUUCGAGAAAUCGGCGCUAAUACCCCAUAACAUUGCGAAGAGGCAUCUCUUUGCAAUUAAAGCUCCGGCGGUAUAAGAUGGGCAUGCGUCCAAUUAGCUAGUUGGUGAGGUAACGGCUCACCCAGGCUACGAUUGGUAGGGGUUCUGAGAGGAUGAGCCCCCACACUGGUACUGAGACACGGACCAGACUCCUACGGGAGGCAGCAGUGAGGAAUAUUGCGCAAUGGACGAAAGUCUGACGCAGCCAUGCCGCGUGCAGGAUGACGGCCCUAUGGGUUGUAAACUGCUUUUGUACGGGAAUAAACCCUUCUACGUGUAGGAGGCUGAAGGUACCGUAAGAAUAAGCACCGGCUAACUCCGUGCCAGCCGCCGCCGUAACAC